UAGGGAAUAUUGCGCAAUGGGCGAAAGCCUGACGCAGCGACACCGUGUGUAGGAUGAAAAUCUUCGGAUUGUAAACUACUGUCAGUUGAAGACGAAGGCAGUAGAGUUAAGAGCGCGAAUGUUGACGGUAUUCAAUUAGGAAGUCUCGGCUAACGCAGUGCAAGCAGCCGCGGUAAGACGGAGGAGGCUAGCUUUGUCCGGAAUUAUUGGGCGUAAAGAACACGUAGGCGGUUUGUCAAGUCAUUUGUGAA
rnacentral:rRNA from 1 species